rnacentral:rRNA from 1 species
AUUGAACGCUGGCGGCAUGCUUUACACAUGCAAGUCGGACGAGUGGCGAACGGGUGAGUAACGCAUCGGAACGUACCGAGUAAUGGGGGAUAACUGUCCGAAAGUACAGCUAAUACCGCAUAUUAUUCGAGCGGCCGAUGUCUGAUUGGCUGGUUGGCGGGGAAAAGGCCCACCAAGGCGACGCUCAGUAGCGGGUCUGAGAGGAGGAUCCGCCACACGGGAACGGAGACACGUCCCGGACCCCAAGGGGGGGCAGCGGGGGGGAUUUUGGGACAAGGGGCGAAAGCCUGAUCCAGCCAGGCCGCGUGGCUGAAGAAGGCCUUCGGGUUGUAAAGAACUUUUGUCAGGGAAGCGGUACCUGAAGAAUAAGCACCGGCUAACUACGUGCCAGCAGCCGCGGUAAAC